UACGAAGGGGGCUAGCGUUGCUCGGAAUCACUGGGCGUAAAGCGCACGUAGGCGGCUUCUUAAGUCAGGGGUGAAAUCCUGGAGCUCAACUCCAGAACUGCCUUUGAUACUGAGGAGCUUGAGUCCGGGAGAGGUGAGUGGAACUGCGAGUGUAGAGGUGAAAUUCGUAGAUAUCGCAAGAACACCAGUGGCGAAGGCGGCUCACUGGCCCGGUACUGACGCUGAGGUGCGAAAGCGUGGGGAGCAACAGG
rnacentral:rRNA from 1 species